CAAAGAACUUUGAAGAGAGAGUUCAAGAGGACGUGAAACCACGAGGGGCGAAACGGAUAGAGUUGACGAAACGUUGCGAUGAUCAGCGUAUUCCUGUGCUAUGCUGCGUAUUGGCUGCCAGAUGGGUGGCUGUGCGUGGCUUGCGUUGUGCGCGGGGAUGCGCGCUUUCAUUCGUAGUUGCGCUGAGGCGCUUUGCUGCCCCUUCUGUACCGGCUGUGCGUGGGCGUUGCUUCGGUAGCGCUUGCAUGCUGGGAGGUUGCUGUGGCGGUGAAGUGUUCGCGAUGCUCUCGCGUUUGUGCGGCUUGCGUGUGCGUAUGCGCAGCGUGUUGUUAGUGGCGUGCCAUUGGCGAUGCGUGUGUGUAUGCGUUCUGCGUACGCUGCUCGAGAGUAAGCGCUCGGUGUGAAAGUCGACCACCUAUCCGACCCGUCUUGAAACACGGAUCAAGAAGUUUAGCAAAUGCGCGAGUCAUUGGGUGUGCAAGCUCAUUGGCGAAAUGAAAGUGAAGGCGGACUCGUUCUGCUGAUAUGUGAUCUGUGGCGUUCGCGUCGCAGCGCAACAUAGCCCCAUGCCGGCUGCUUGCAGCGGUGUGGAGGUAGAGCGCAUUUGCUGAGACCCGAAAGAUGGUGAACUAUGCCUGAGCAGGAUGAAGCCAGAGGAAACUCUGGUGGAGGUCCGAAGCGGUUCUGACGUGCAAAUCG
rnacentral:rRNA from 2 species